rnacentral:rRNA from 1 species
GUGUCAGCAGCCGCGGUAAUACAGAGGUCUCAAGCGUUGUUCGGAAUCACUGGGCGUAAAGGGUGCGCAGGUUGCGCGGAUAGUCAAUUGUGGAAUUCAAGGGCUCAACCCUUGGGCUGCACUUGAUACUUCCGCGCUCGAGCCCUGGAGAGGAGUCUGGAAUUCUCGGUGUAGCAGUGAAAUGCGUAGAUAUCGAGAGGAACACCAACGGCGAAAGCAAGACUCUGGACAGGUGCUGACACUCAUGCACGAAGGCCAGGGGAGCAAACGGGAUUAGAUACCCCCGUAGUCC